GCCGCCGUGGUGGAAUGGUAGACACCACAGACUUAAAAUCUGUUGAUCUCACGGUCGUGCCGGUUCGAGUCCGGCCGGCGGCA
rnacentral:tRNA from 1 species